GUACUUCACCAGGAUCGUGGUGUUUGCGCUGAGGACCAUUGCCAGUUACCAGUACCGGUGGGUGAGCGUCUUGGCCGAGGAAGUGGCAUCAAUGGCGUUCUACAUGUACAUGUUCUACACAUUCAGGCCGGCCGAGAGGAGCAAGUACUUCUCUCUCGACGACGACGAUGAGGAGGCCGCCGAGAUGGUGCUCCGGGAAGAGGAAUUCGAGCUAUGAACAUUUGUAAUUUUCCGCAGCAAUGCCGUGAGCGGCAAUUGCCAUGAUUGCUCUCUUAGCGCCCUGUUUAUCUGAUCUGAUCUCCCCUCUUGAGACUUUAGCACACUAUUUAUACAGAUACCAGGUAGCAGGUAUAGCUCAUCGUCUUGUAUGUACCGCAGG
rnacentral:lncRNA from 1 species